CCGUCAACUGCACAACAAAUAUAUCUAAGUAUUGCAAUAUAAAUUAAUACAAAAGCAAGAUAAAGUAUUCAAAUAUUUAUAAGUCUUACAACCAAGGAGUUCCUACUUUUAUUUUCUGUUGUAAAUCAUCUUUUUGGAUAUUUAUCUGUACAUUUUUUUUUUGUGAAGAAAAAUUGGCUCAACAUUGCAAAUCAUUGACAAAGUUGGGUUGCCCACAAAAACAUUCAAAAUGUAGUUAUGUUCGACAAAGAGAAUAAAAUUCGAAUUUGCAACUUUUUUCUAGAUGAGUCUAUAGUACUUUUCUUGGGAGCAAAUGUUGAGAAAGCAUCAAAUGCCGAGGAGGAGAAACAGAAAGCUCCAGCUAAAAAAAGAAAACGGGUUGAUGAUGAAAACCUGAAGAAGAUGAUCUUGUAGAGAUACAAAAGUUAUGGCAUAGUGGCGGUUUUGGUGUGUGGAACUCAUUACUUUUGGAUAUUAUCUUCUUUUAAUUGUGCUUCAUUAAUAUUGUUCUUGGGAUUAUAACAAUAAAAAAUAUAUUGCUAUUGGUAUUUGUAGUUGUAGAAAACAUAGCUAAAGACGAAAUAGAGAAGCAAAAGCCAUUGCUAUAAAAAGAGACCUAUUGGGUUUCUUAGCUUUGUUUAACAAGGCCGUAGGGCAUGAUCCUUGCUUCUGUAAUCUCUCUGGUGAUAUCAAGAUGCUUAGGAGCUUGUUACUCAACUGGAAAGUGAUACUGUGAGGUAUAUAUUAUCUUUUGUGUGUGCCUUUAGUUUCUUUUAUAACAUUGACGAGAGUUUGAAUUUUUGAAAUGAACAAAACGAAAAAAAUCAAUAUAGGGCCAAUGAUAGCACUGCUGAGCCGGCUAAGUAUAGGCUUGGCCGUUUAGAAAGAAUAAUGCGGAAUUGGACCGUCUUGUGGUGGGAGAUAUGGUGAAGGGGCUCUAUCUCUAAUCACUAUGGCACCGGGCUCUCUAGGCACCAUGCCACCUGUCGAUCUAAACCGACCCCUACACUUUUUUGUUUUUUGGGAGCAUUAUCAAUAUUGUUACCCGUAUUAUCACCUGUCAUCUGCACAAUAAAUAUAUUUAAGUAUUGCAAUAUAAAUUAAUACAAAAGCAAGAUAAAGUGUUCAAAUAUUUAUAAGUUUUACAAUCAAGGAGUUCCAACUUUUAUUUUCCAUUGUAAAUCUUCUUUUUGGAAAUUGAUCUGCACAUUUUUUUUGUGAGUACAAAUUGGCUCAACAUAGAAAAGCAUUAAUAAAGUUGGGUUGCCCACAACAAACAUUAAAAAUGGAGUUGUGUUCGACAAAGAGAAUAACAUUCGAAUUUGUAACUUUUUUCUUAAUGAGUCUGUAGGUGUGUUUACUUACCUUAUUACUCUCAUACAUAUUUUUUUGUUUACGUUUUUCCUCAAUGGUUAUCUACUAUUUUUUUGCUUCUUUAAUACUUUUCUUGGGAGCAGUUGUUGAGAAAGCAUCAGAUGCCCAGAAGGAGAAACAGAAAGCUCUAGCUAGAAAAAGAAAACGGGUUGUUGGUAUGCAUAGAUUAUAUUGUUUUCGUUGUGCUUCUUUUAAUAUUUUUAUGUGAAUUGUAGAUGAAAAUCUGAAGAAGAUGCUCCUGUAGAGAUACAAAAUGUAUGGCACGGCGUUCCAGCUAUAAAAUGAUGACGGGCUAAUGCUAUGCAUAGAUUAUAUUCUUUUUUGCUAUGCUUUUUUAAAAAAAUUCUUGCUUACUCAAUAUUUUUCAUGUGAAUUGUAGAUGAAAAACUUGAAGAAGAUGAUCUUGUAGAGAUACAAAAUUUAUGGCAUGCUGGGGGUAUUGGUAUGUGGAAUCCAUUAUUUUUGCAUAUUAUCUUCUUUUAGUUGUGCUUCAUCAAUAUUGUUCUUGGAAUUAUAACAAUCAAAAACAUAUUGUUCUUGGGAAUUGUAGUUGUGGAAAACAUAUUGUCUUUGGGAAUUGUAGUUGUGGAAAACAUAGCUAAAGACGAAGUAGAGAAGUAAGUCAUUGCUAUAAAAAGAACAUAUUGGGUUUCUUAUCUUUGUUUAACACCAUAAGAAUUUACAUAAGGAGUGGAAUACAUUCAAAUACUUGAGAAAAUUGGUCAUGAAAGCCAAAAUUUGAAGAAAAGUGGCUAAAAGAGCAAAGGAAAAAUCCAAGCGGGCCACGUAGUUACCCACGUAGCCACCCACACAUUUGAGGAGAAGAAAAAUGAGGUUCUGAAAGUACGCAUGUAGAUUACGUGGCCACGCAGCUGAGCCAUGUACCUCACCCACGUAGCUGAACGUGAGGGGUGUUUUUGUCACAUUUUUGCAUGACUUUAAACAUAUUUUAGGGCACUUUCUUAUAUUAUCUUUGUACCUUUGAGCAAAGAAGAGCCUCCAUAGAUACAUUUGGCAAGUUUUGAAGGAUUUCACCAUAGAUUAUCAAUUGUCUUCCUUAAUUACUUUUUUAUUAUGUAUUUAUUUUCCUUUUAUCUUGUAUUUUCCAUUUCUAGUAUGAAUGGCUAAACCCCAUAGUCGGGGUUGUAAAUUCUUAUGGUGUUAAU